CCUACGGGCGGCAGCAGUAGGGAAUAUUGCUCAAUGGGCGAAACCCUGAAGCAGCAACGCCGCGUGGAGGAUGAAGGUUUUAGGAUUGUAAACUCCUUUUGUUCGGGAAGAUUAUGACGGUAUCUAUCGCAUAAUCACCGGCUAACUCCGUCACAGCAGCCGCGGUAAUACGGAGGGUGCAAGCGUUACGCGGAAUCACUGGGCGUAAAGCGUGCGUAGGCGGGGGAAUAAGUCAGAUGUGAAAUCCGUUAGCUUAACCACAGAACUGCAUUUGAAACUGUGACUCUGGAGUGUGGGAGAGGUAGGUGGAAUUCUUGGUGUAGGGGUGAAAUGCGUAGAGAUCAAGAGGAAUACUCAUUGCGAAGGCGGCCUCCUGGACCAUUACUGACGCUGAUGCACGAAAGCGUGGGGAGCAAACAGGAUUAGAUACCCGAGUAGUC
rnacentral:rRNA from 1 species